rnacentral:rRNA from 1 species
AAGGUCCCCAAAUCAAGGUUCACAGACAAAGGAUGUUGGGUUGCAGUGACAACUAGGAUGUUGGCUUAGAAGCAGCCAUUCAUUUAAAGAGUGCGUAAUAGCUCACUAGUCAAGCGACCCAGCGCCAAUAAUACUCGGGACUAAACCUUGUACCGAAGCGAUGGAUUGUCCGCAAGGACAGUGGUAGAGGAGCAUUCUAUGUGCGAUCCAGGCGAACUGGAGCCUUCGGGCGAAGGUGCGGGGCGACCCGUGCUGGAGCGCAUAGAAACGCAGAUGUAGGCAUAAGUAACGAUAAGACAGACGGAAAAUCUGUCCACCGAAAAUCUAAGGUUUCCUGAGCAACGUUAAUCGUCUCAGGGUUAGUCGGACCCUAAGCCGAGGCCGAAAGGCGUAGGCGAUGGAAAACAGGUUGAAUAUUCCUGUACCUGUUUACAGUCGUCUGACUAUGAGGGGUGACGCAGGAGUGAAGACCAGCCGUCUGCUGACUUAGACGGUCUAAGGUGGUAGGGGUCUCGGGUAGGCAAAUCCGCCCGGGAGUUAUCUCCGAGAGCCGAACGGGAAGGCGCAAGCCUACAAACUGGUCGUAAUCAUGCUGCCGAGAAAAACCUCGCAUAGGAGACUGUAGGCAGUCCGUACCGCAAACCGACACAGGUAGAUGGGGAUGAAUGUCCUCAGGUGCUCGAGUGAGCCAUGGUCAAGGAACUCGGCAAACUGACCCUGUAACUUCGGGAUAAAGGGUGUCUCGACGCGUGAGAGGGCUUGCCCCUCAGAGCGCAUCAAGAUCGCAGUGAAACGGGCCAAGCGACUGUUUAACAAAAACACAUCACUUUGCGAAGACGUGAAGUCGACGUAUAAGGUGUGACACCUGCCCGGUGCCGGAAGGUUAAGGAGAGAGGUCAAUCCCCGCAAGGGGACGAAGCUUUGAACCGAAGCCCCGGUAAACGGCGGCCGUAACUAUAACGGUCCUAAGGUAGCGAAAUUCCUUGUCGGGUAAGUUCCGACCUGCACGAAUGGUGUAACGAUUUGGUCACUGUCUCGACCAUGGGCUCGGUGAAAUUGUGGUACCGGUGAAGACGCCGGUUACCCGCAUAUGGACGGAAAGACCCCGUGAAGCUUUACUAUACCUUAGCAUUGGGUUCGGGCAAAACAUGUGUAGCAUAGGUGGGAGACGUUGAAGCCGGGACGCUAGUCUCGGUGGAGUCACCAGUGAAAUACCACCCUUGUUCUGUUUGAAUUCUAACCUCUAGGCGUGAAUCCGCCUAAGGGACCGUGCUAGGCGGGUAGUUUGACUGGGGCGGUCGCCUCCUAAAAUGUAACGGAGGCUCUCAAAGGUUCCCUCAGCAUGGUUGGUAAUCAUGCGGCGAGUGUAAAGGCACAAGGGAGCUUGACUGCGAGACCUACAAGUCGAGCAGAUGCGAAAGCAGGACUUAGUGAUCCGAUGGUAGCACGUGGAAGUGCCAUCGCUCAAAGGAUAAAAGCUACUCCGGGGAUAACAGGCUGAUCUCGCCCAAGAGUUCAUAUCGACGGCGAGGUUUGGCACCUCGAUGUCGGCUCAUCACAUCCUGGGGCUGGAGAAGGUCCCAAGGGU